CUUAUCAGUCUAUAUACCGCCGUCGCCAGCUUACCCUGUGAAGGAACAAAAGUAAGCGAGAUGGGCACAGCCCAGUACGUCAGGUCGAGGUGUAGCAUAUGAAGUGGGAAGAAAUGGGCUACAUUCUCUACCACAGAGCAUUACGAACACGCAAUAUGAAAUAUAUGCCAGAAGGAGGAUUUAGAAGUAAAAAGGAAGCAGAGUGUCCUUUUGAACCCGGCUCUAAGAUGCGUACACACCGCCCGUCACUCCCCCCGGUCUAAUUGCGCCUAACUAUACCUAAUACCACAGCACUGACGAGGGGGGAAAAGUCGUAACAAGGUAAGUGUACCGGAAGGUGCACUUGGACCAAACC
rnacentral:rRNA from 1 species